UUUACAUUACAGUUCACACUUGGUGUGGUACAUUCUGUGCCUUAGAACAAGUGUAUAACAACAUGUAUCCAACAUAUAGUAUCACUUAGAGUAGUUUCACUGCCCUGAAAAUCUUCUGUGCUCUGCCUCUUCAGCCCUCCCUCUCUCCUGUCCUUGGCAACUACUGAUCUUUUUACUGUCUCCAUAGUCUUGCCUUUUCCAGAAUGUCAUAUUGUAUUGCACAGUAUGUAGAGUUCCCAGACCUGGCUUCUUUCACUUGGCAACAUGGUCAUUUAUGAAGCUGGAAAAUCAAAAAACAAAAACAACAACAACAAAAAAACCUUAAUAUGAUUUAAAAACAAACCACAAAACUUUGGCUGCUAUGAAGAUAAGCAAGCAAGAAGAAGAAUGGACAUGUUUACUCCUACCCCUUCCCAAGUCUGUUUCUUCCCCUGUAAGUCUACCCGGGAGAGUAAAACUCAAGAAGCAGAUCGACGUCAAGAUUGGAGUAAGAAACAGAAAUACCCAGGAAGAGGGCAUGACAAUAACUGAUUGCAUUCUGAAUAGCAAAAUUUGGAUAAAAGGACUAUUGCAG
rnacentral:lncRNA from 1 species